rnacentral:rRNA from 1 species
UACGGGGGGAGCAAGCGUUGUUCGGAUUUACUGGGCGUAAAGGGCUCGUAGGCGGCCUGUCGCGUCGGGAGUGAAAGCCCACUGCUUAACGGUGGGUCUGCUUCCGGUACGGGCGGGCUGGAGUAUGGCAGGGGAGACUGGAAUUCCUGGUGUAGCGGUGGAAUGCGCAGAUAUCAGGAGGAACACCGGUGGCGAAGGCGGGUCUCUGGGCCAUUACUGACGCUGAGGAGCGAAAGCGUGGGGAGCGAACAGA